ACUUCUAUCCUAUUGUGCACCAAUUUCUCUAAAGUGAAAUCUCGGAACUCCUCUGGAAUUUUCUCUAGAAGUGUCUCAUCAUACACAGGAUCCUCAUAACCCUCCAUGGGAUCCUCUGGGGUCAGCACUCGCUUCAUUCAAGAAGAGUUGUUCCCCUUUUGAUUUCCUACCUGCUUGAUGAAACCUUUCCUCUGCAGAUUUAAGACAUAUUUAGACCUAGUCUCCAAAUGCUUCUUGACUUCUAUUAGUUCAACCUGACAAUUAUACAACCAUGUAUUACAAUGCAGAAAAAGUAUAUAACAGAAGAAAAAAAUGUUUUAUGAAUAGACAUUAACCUUUCCGUAAGUUUUCAUGUCUACAUUAAUCAUUUGAGUCCAUGCAACAUAGAGGAUGGACAGGGAAUACUCCUCAGCCUCAUCAAACAGCUCCUCAAAUGGUGGCUGUAGCGCACGGUAGAUGCCACCACGGAUCUCAUGGCUACAUCCAAUGUUACGGUUUCCUCCCACCACAAUGUACCUCGAGUAAAUCACCUGAAAAUCAAUCAGUCCGUCUUUUAUGACAAAAUGUGCUUUGUUUUACAUUGACAGUAUUUUUUAAUUCAGUGAAAAGAUACACAAACCUUGGCUUUCUUUUGUACUAUAUAUGGAUCUAUGACUUCUGCAUAAAAAAGCAUGUGAUAUUCUUGAACAUCAGUCCAAAAACUCAAGCAGUUCACCCACAUCUAUACACAAGAAGAAAAAAACAUUCCAUAAAAUACGCCAACUGAAUAUCAAGUAAGGCAAUAAGUAAAUCAUUUAAUAUUGAGGUUUCAUCAGUGUUCAUAAACAUUAAAUUUCAUGCAUUUCUCAAAAAAAUUAAAAGUUCCUUCACAAAA